GACGAACGCUGGCGGCGUGCUUAACACAUGCAAGUCGAGCGGUAAGGCCCUUUCGGGGGUACACGAGCGGCGAACGGGUGAGUAACACGUGGGUGACCUGCCCUCAGCUCUGGGAUAAGCCUGGGAAACUGGGUCUAAUACUGGAUAUGACUCCACGGUGCAUGUCGUGGGGUGGAAAGCCUUGUGCGGCUGAGGAUGGGCCCGCGGCCUAUCAGCUUGUUGGUGGGGUGAUGGCCUACCAAGGCGACGACGGGUAGCCGGCCUGAGAGGCGACCGGCCACACUGGGACUGAGACACGGCCCAGACUCCUACGGGAGGCAGCAGUGGGGAAUCUUGCGCAAUGGGCGAAAGCCUGACGCAGCGACGCCGCGUGNGGG
rnacentral:rRNA from 1 species